AACGAACGCUGGCGGCAGGCCUAACACAUGCAAGUCGAGCGCCCUUUCGGGGGAGCGGCGGACGGGUGAGUACCGCGUGGGAAUAUGCCCUUCUCUACGGAAUAGCCUCGGGAAACUGAGAGUAAUACCGUAUACGCCCUUUGGGGGAAAGAUUUAUCGGGGAAGGAUUAGCCCGCGUUGGAUUAGGUAGUUGGUGGGGUAAUGGCCUACCAAGCCGACGAUCCAUAGCUGGUUUGAGAGGAUGAUCAGCCACACUGGGACUGAGACACGGCCCAGACUCCUACGGGAAGCAGCAGUGGGGAAUCUUAGACAAUGGGGGCAACCCUGAUCUAGCCAUGCCGCGUGAGUGAUGAAGGCCCUAGGGUUGUAAAGCUCUUUCAGCUGGGAAGAUAAUGACGGUACCAGCAGAAGAAGCCCCGGCUAACUCCGUG
rnacentral:rRNA from 1 species